rnacentral:rRNA from 1 species
UACGUAGGGUGCGAGCGUUGCCCGGAUUUAUUGGGCGUAAAGAGCUCGUAGGCGGCUCGUUGCGUCGGCUGUGAAAACCCGCAGCUCAACUGUGGGCUUGCAGCCGAUACGGGCGGGCUAGGAUUCGGUAGGGGAGACUGGAGUUCCUGGUGUAGCGGUGAAAUGCGCAGAUAUCAGGAGGAACACCGGUGGCGAAGGCGGGUCUCUGGGCCGAUAUCGACGCUGAGGAGCGAAAGCGUGGGGAGCGAACAGG